rnacentral:rRNA from 1 species
GCAGUUGUUAGCAUCUAUACUGUGAACUGCGAAUGGCUCAUUAAAUCAGUUAUCGUUUAUUUGAUAGUACCUUACUACUUGGAUAACCGUGGUAAUUCUAGAGCUAAUACAUGCUAAAAACCUCGACUUCGGAAGGGGUGUAUUUAUUAGAUAAAAAACCAAUGCCCUUCGGGGCUCCUUGGUGAUUCAUGAUAACUUAACGAAUCGCAUGGCCUUGCGCCGGCGAUGGUUCAUUCAAAUUUCUGCCCUAUCAACUUUCGAUGGUAGGAUAGUGGCCUACCAUGGUAGCAACGGGUAACGGGGAAUUAGGGUUCUAUUCCGGAGAGGGAGCCUGAGAAACGGCUACCACAUCCAAGGAAGGCAGCAGGCGCGCAAAUUACCCAAUCCCGACACGGGGAGGUAGUGACAAUAAAUACUGAUACAGGGCUCUUUCGAGUCUUGUAAUUGGAAUGAGUACAAUUUAAAUACCUUAACGAGGAACAAUUGGAGGGCAAGUCUGGUGCCAGCAGCCGCGGUAAUUCCAGCUCCAAUAGCGUAUAUUAAAGUUGUUGCAGUUAAAAAGCUCGUAGUUGAACCUUGGGCCUGGCUGGCCGGUCCGCCUCACCGCGUGUACUGGUCCGGCCGGGCCUUUCCUUCUGGGGAUCCGCAUGCCCUUCACUGGGUGUGUCGGGGAACCAGGACUUUUACUUUGAAAAAAUUAGAGUGUUCAAAGCAGGCCUUUGCUCGAAUACAUUAGCAUGGAAUAAUAGAAUAGGACGUGCGGUCCUAUUUUGUUGGUUUCUAGGACCGCCGUAAUGAUUAAUAGGGAUAGUCGGGGGCAUCAGUAUUCAAUUGUCAGAGGUGAAAUUCUUGGAUUUAUUGAAGACUAACUACUGCGAAAGCAUUUGCCAAGGAUGUUUUCAUUAAUCAGUGAACGAAAGUUAGGGGAUCGAAGACGAUCCGAUACCGUCGUAGUCUUAACCGUAACUAUGCCGACUAGGGAUCGGGCGAUGUUUUAUUUUGACUCCCUCGGACCUUACAAAAAUCAAAUCUUUGGGUCCUGGGGGAGAUUGU